rnacentral:rRNA from 1 species
CAGUAGCCACGGUAAUACGUAGGGGGCAAGCGUUAUCCGGAAUUACUGGGUGUAAAGGGAGCGUAGACGGUUAAACAAGUCUGAAGUGAAAUGCCGGGGCUCAACCCCGGAGCUGCUUUGGGAACUGUAGAACUGGAGUGUCGGAGGGGUAAGCGGAAUUCCCAGUGUAGCGGUGAAAUGCGUAGAUAUUGGGAGGAACACCGGCGGCGAAGGCGGCUUACUGGACGACAACUGACGAUGAGGCUCGAAGGCGUGGGUAGCAAACAGGAUUAGAGACCCCGGUAGUCCCUGUCUCUUAUAC